rnacentral:rRNA from 1 species
AUUGACCGCUGGCGGCAUGCCUAACACAUGCAAGUCGAACGAGUGGCGGACGGGUGAGUAAUGUCUGGGAAACUGCCUGAUGGAGGGGGAUAACUACUGGAAACGGUAGAUAAUACCGCAUACCAUCUGAUGUGCCCACAUGGGAUUAGCUUGUUGGUGGGUGAACGGAUCACCAAGGCGGCGAUCCCUAGCUGGUCUGAGAGGAUGACCAGCCCCAAUGGCACGGAUACACGGUCCAGACUCCUACGGGAGGCAGCAGUGGGGAAGAUUGGACAAGGGGCGCAAGUCUGAUGCAGCCAUGCCGCGUGUAUGAAGAAGGCCGUCGGGUUGUAAAGUACUUUCAGCGGGGAGGCGUUACCCGCAGAAGAAGCACCGGCUAACUCCGUGCCAGCAGCCGCGGUAAUAC